CCAAAGGCUCUUUUCAGAGCCACCUCACUUGUCACGAAAAGACCUGU
rfam:Pteropus alecto contig93238, whole genome shotgun sequence.